GACGGAGGAUGCAAGUGUUAUCCGGAAUCACUGGGGCGUAAAGCGUCUGUAGGUGGUUUAAAAAGUCUAUUGUUAAAAAUUGAAGCUUAACUUCAAAGAUGCAAUGGAAACUUUUAAACUUGAGUAUGGUAGGGGUAGAGGGAAUUUCCAGUGGAGCGGUGAAAUGCGUAGAUCUUGGAAAGACCACCAAUGGCGAAGGCACUCUACUGGGCCAUGACUGACACUAAGAGACGAAAGCUAGGGGAGCAAAUGGG
rnacentral:rRNA from 1 species